GGGCGCGAGUCCACCGAGCACACCCGCAGCGCCAGCCAGGUCCCGGGCGGCGGUACCCAGCUCAUGGUGACCGGCGCGGUGGGCAGAGAUGAGCACUGACGCUUAGCCGUCAAAUGCCUGCUGAUGUGGGGUAGAGCUGAACCAGAGGCUCCUGUUGUCCAGCCUAGAGUGGUUUCCACUGGACCAUCCUGGCUGAUGGGCUAGGACUCAGGACACCUAACUUUUAG